GCAAGUGCAUCACGUAUAGAUGCAUGGAACGACGAAAGUUAAAAAGAACUCUGACGACAGAAUUAAACAGUACGUAAAGCUAUAUUGAAUAAAAGAGAUAACUGUGUCGCUAUGUGGGUGUGCCUGUCAACAAAACAUUUGGCGUUGUAAUACCGUUAGUGUAGGUUUGCCAUCCAGCUGAUCACUCACGGUUAGCCUAGCCAGAGGUUGUGUGUACCAGUGCACACUCAAUCAUUGAAAAACUGCUGUUGCAACAUCGGCGUGCAUCAAUGCGUACCUAGUGCAGUUGCAUGCUGGACGACAGCUCUAAUUGCAUUGACCAAAGGUAGCUGUUGUAUCUGCGAAUUUGUUUAUUCCUUCCUGCGGUGCGCAUGAUAUUAUAGUUAAGUGACUUACCCUCAAUGGUUAACAUUAGUUAUUCGAUCCGCCUUGAAAUACGGACUUGAGUUCAAAUGGCGCGCGAGCUAUUCGGUUUUAACAACCGAAGGCGAAGUGAGAUGCAAACGUUUUAUUAUUUGCGGAGGCUCUGGUGUAUGUGUGAAUCUAUUCUGACGUGAAAACUGAUCUAGGUGUCGAGGCGAAAGACUAAUCGAAACAUCUAGGAGCUGAGUUCUUCCAAAGUUUCCCUCAGGAUAGUAAUCGUACAUAUUUCACUUCAUCUCAUAAAGUAAAUGAUUAGAAACAUUUGCGCGUAUAUAGCCUUAACCUAUUCUCAAACUUUUAAUGGGUAUGAGUGUUCUUUGAAGAACGCUACUAAAUAAGGAUGCCUAGUGGGCCAUUUUUCGGUAAGCAGAACUGGCGCUGCGGAUUAAACUAAUUGUUGAGUUAAAAUGCCUAAAGCACGAAUGUGCAUGAGAUCUCUAAAAAGGGUGUUAGUCAGCAGGAUGGUGACCAUAGACAUUGGAAUCCGUUAAGGAGCGUGUAACAGCUCAUGUGCCAAGGCAACUAGCCCAAAAAUAGGUGGCGCUAUAGCAUUGUGCUUACACUCAACCUCUGACGUGUGCCGCACCGGAACAUCUUCAGAGGGCAAGAAGGUAAUGUGAUAGCAUCGAAAAAUUUUGCUGUAAUCUGGAUCUGUUAUAUGUGCAACCGUGGCAACAC
rnacentral:ncRNA from 1 species